AAAUUAGGCUUGGUUUUCCAAAAAAUAACUAUAAUUUUUUUAUGGCUUUUUUAAAAAAAAAGAAACAGAAAAUAAAAUUUACUUAAUAAUAAAAAAUUAUUGAGAUUUAUAGUUAAAUUUAGCUAAUUUUGUGCCAGCAGCAGCGGUUAGACAAAAAAAUUUUUUUUUUGGCUUUAAAUUUAAAAUAAAUAAUUAUUUUUUUUUUAAAAAAAAAGGUGAAAUUUUUUUUUAAAAAAGGGAAAGUGUUUAAAUAAAAACUUCUAUAUAUAAACUAGGAUUAGAUACCCUAUUAUUAGAAAUAAUACAUUGUUAGUAAAUAAUAUUUAUGAAAACAAAAAAUCAUGGCGGUAUCUUAAGCUUUUCAGAGGAAUUUGCUCUUUAAUGGAUAAAACACCCAAAUCUUACUAAAAUUGGUUAAGACAGUUUGUAUACCACUAUUUAAGUAAUUAUUAAUUAUAAUUGCUGUAAAUUUUAAACAAAAAAAAAGUUAAGUCAAGGUGCAGCAUAAAUUUUAGGAUGAAGUGAAUUACAAUGCUUUUUAGAAAAGCGAUUUNAAAAAAAAAAUUAGGAUUUGAAAGUAAAAAUUUUAAUAGAAUGAUUAUUUGAAUUAAGCUCUGAGAUAUGUACAUAUCGCCCGUCGCUCUUUUUAAAAGAUAAGUCGUAACAAAGUUAAAAUACUGGAAAGUGUUUU
rnacentral:ncRNA from 1 species